rnacentral:rRNA from 1 species
GACGAACGCUGGCGGCGUGCUUAACACAUGCAAGUCGAACGGAAAGGCCCUGCUUUUGUGGGGUGCUCGAGUGGCGAACGGGUGAGUAACACGUGAGUAACCUGCCCUUGACUUUGGGAUAACUUCAGGAAACUGGGGCUAAUACCGGAUAGGAGCUCCUGCUGCAUGGUGGGGGUUGGAAAGUUUCGGCGGUUGGGGAUGGACUCGCGGCUUAUCAGCUUGUUGGUGGGGUAGUGGCUUAUCAAGGCUUUGACGGGUAGCCGGCCUGAGAGGGUGACCGGCCACAUUGGGACUGAGAUACGGCCCAGACUCCUACGGGAGGCAGCAGUGGGGAAUAUUGCACAAUGGGCGGAAGCCUGAUGCAGCAACGCCGCGUGCGGGAUGACGGCCUUCGAGUUGUAAACCGCUUUCGCCUGUGACGAAGCGUGAGUGACGGUAAUGGGUAAAGAAGCACCGGCUAACUACGUGCCAGCAGCCGCGGUGAUACGUAGGGUGCGAGCGUUGUCCGGAUUUAUUGGGCGUAAAGGGCUCGUAGGUGGUUGAUCGCGUCGGAAGUGUAAUCUUGGGGCUUAACCCUGAGCGUGCUUUCGAUACGGGUUGACUUGAGGAAGGUAGGGGAGAAUGGAAUUCCUGGUGGAGCGGUGGAAUGCGCAGAUAUCAGGAGGAACACCAGUGGCGAAGGCGGUUCUCUGGGCCUUUCCUGACGCUGAGGAGCGAAAGCGUGGGGAGCGAACAGGCUUAGAUACCCUGGUAGUCCACGCUGUAAACGGUGGGUACUAGGUGUGGGGUCCAUUCCACGGGUUCCGUGCCGUAGCUAACGCUUUAAGUACCCCGCCUGGGGAGUACGGCCGCAAGGCUAAAACUCAAAGGAAUUGACGGGGCCCCGCACAAGCGGCGGAGCAUGCGGAUUAAUUCGAUGCAACGCGUAGAACCUUACCUGGGUUUGACAUGGAUCGGGAGUGCUCAGAGAUGGGUGUGCCUCUUUUGGGGUCGGUUCACAGGUGGUGCAUGGCUGUCGUCAGCUCGUGUCGUGAGAUGUUGGGUUAAGUCCCGCAACGAGCGCAACCCUUGUUCACUGUUGCCAGCACGUUAUGGUGGGGACUCAGUGGAGACCGCCGGGGUCAACUCGGAGGAAGGUGGGGAUGACGUCAAGUCAUCAUGCCCCUUAUGUCCAGGGCUUCACGCAUGCUACAAUGGCUGGUACAGAGAGUGGCGAGCCUGUGAGGGUGAGCGAAUCUCGGAAAGCCGGUCUCAGUUCGGAUUGGGGUCUGCAACUCGACCUCAUGAAGUCGGAGUCGCUAGUAAUCGCAGAUCAGCAACGCUGCGGUGAAUACGUUCCCGGG